rnacentral:lncRNA from 1 species
GGAAUUGCAGAAUAGAUCCAAUCAACUGUUUCUUCCUGAAGGCAAAGAGGUCUUAGGUUUUGGCCCAACGAUGUUACGAAGAGAAUGGUAACUUCUGAACAAAAGUGAAAAUGUUGGCUGAGGCACCCUUGCUGCUCAUCUGGUGAAAGAAUGCAAGUAUAAAGGGUUGCCAGGAAACGGUCUUUGCCUGAAGAUGAGACAACUGGUGGUGGUGGUGGUUCAGCCCCCCCUUGCAAGUGCACUACUGUUCAUGGGGUCAUCCAAGGGAUGGCAGAGACAACUAGGGCCAGACGAAGCUUGCUUUCACCCUAGAAGAGAAGAUCUCUCAGAGUUGGAGAUGGCAAUUUCCAGUCCUAAGAAAUGGAUUCUAACCUGUAGAUCCUACCCGCUCUCGAGGACUCUUGAAGUGCCCUGGUUCUGGCAGUGGGAAGAAGACCCUGUCCACACUAGUCCCCCUCAGUUGCACAGGGGGGGACCCCAGACAAGUUCUCAUGUAGGCAGCGCUUAUUCAGCUUCUCCCCUGAAAACUGGUUCUGAGCCUUGGGGGAAUCCCAGGGGUGAGUUGCCUAUAUUGCUGUCCUUGGGUGUUUGUCUGGGCCCUGGUCAGGGCUCACCCAACGUUAGCCACUUGUGGCUUCCACGGCAUUACGUGAUCCCCUUCCAGUCUCUGCAGCCCCUUUCCAGGGGAGCCUAGCACAACAUGGAGAGAAAAACUUGGUUGUCUUUGCUUGCUUACAGCUCUGCCUGCAGGCCGCCCAUCUCGGCAGUACCGUUUUCUUAAGCAUCAAGGCUUUUCCAGGGGUAAGCAGCCCACCUUUAUUGGCUUUGCAGUGACAGCAUUUAUUUUCAGUCUUGUUUUCAGGGGAAUGUACCUUCAUACAUUCUUCACUGAUGCUCAGAUACGUGUAAGAGCAAAGUGGGAAUCAAGUAAGGCUUCUUUAUCUCGUGAAGCUGCAUUGCAAGCUGCUGAAGCCUUGAGCUUCUUCCAGCAUUGUCUGCAAAGACAGCAGCUUUUGGGGCUGAGUUUAGAGCCUGAGUGAACUCCUGGGGGUCCUUUUCCCCAGGAGCUGUGCACAUGGUGAGUUUUAUGCCAAUACAGUUCCCGUGCUGGCAUCUGGUACCACACUGCCACGUGCUCGUCAGUGGAAGGGGGGAACGGGUGUCAGGCAGCAUUAGUGUUUCCUGCCAUUCAAAGCUGAAGGAGUUUAUUACAGUAUGUGACAGGAGCUGUUCUCGUGUGCCUUUGGUUGCAGAUGUGGCCACAGGUGCUGGCUCUGCAUCUCUUCAGUGGAAUCCUGAUUCUGAGUCUUGGAGAGGUCACCUGGGUACAUUGGCUCUAUAUAUUUCAUGAGGGAGCUGCCAGGCUACACCCAGGAGGUCAACCCAGCCACUCUGCAGGCAUUUCUUAGGAAGCUGUUUAUUGCAGCAUUUCACACUAGCUUUCUU